rnacentral:rRNA from 3 species
AAAUUGAAGAGUUUGAUCAUGGCUCAGAUUGAACGCUGGCGGCAGGCCUAACACAUGCAAGUCGAACGGUAACAGGAAGCAGCUUGCUGCUUUGCUGACGAGUGGCGGACGGGUGAGUAAUGUCUGGGAAACUGCCUGAUGGAGGGGGAUAACUACUGGAAACGGUGGCUAAUACCGCAUAACGUCGCAAGACCAAAGAGGGGGACCUUCGGGCCUCUUGCCAUCAGAUGUGCCCAGAUGGGAUUAGCUUGUUGGUGAGGUAACGGCUCACCAAGGCGACGAUCCCUAGCUGGUCUGAGAGGAUGACCAGCCACACUGGAACUGAGACACGGUCCAGACUCCUACGGGAGGCAGCAGUGGGGAAUAUUGCACAAUGGGCGCAAGCCUGAUGCAGCCAUGCCGCGUGUAUGAAGAAGGCCUUCGGGUUGUAAAGUACUUUCAGCGGGGAGGAAGGUGUUGUGGUUAAUAACCACAGCAAUUGACGUUACCCGCAGAAGAAGCACCGGCUAACUCCGUGCCAGCAGCCGCGGUAAUACGGAGGGUGCAAGCGUUAAUCGGAAUUACUGGGCGUAAAGCGCACGCAGGCGGUCUGUCAAGUCGGAUGUGAAAUCCCCGGGCUCAACCUGGGAACUGCAUUCGAAACUGGCAGGCUUGAGUCUUGUAGAGGGGGGUAGAAUUCCAGGUGUAGCGGUGAAAUGCGUAGAGAUCUGGAGGAAUACCGGUGGCGAAGGCGGCCCCCUGGACAAAGACUGACGCUCAGGUGCGAAAGCGUGGGGAGCAAACAGGAUUAGAUACCCUGGUAGUCCACGCCGUAAACGAUGUCUACUUGGAGGUUGUGCCCUUGAGGCGUGGCUUCCGGAGCUAACGCGUUAAGUAGACCGCCUGGGGAGUACGGCCGCAAGGUUAAAACUCAAAUGAAUUGACGGGGGCCCGCACAAGCGGUGGAGCAUGUGGUUUAAUUCGAUGCAACGCGAAGAACCUUACCUGGUCUUGACAUCCACGGAAGAAUUCAGAGAUGGAUUUGUGCCUUCGGGAACCGUGAGACAGGUGCUGCAUGGCUGUCGUCAGCUCGUGUUGUGAAAUGUUGGGUUAAGUCCCGCAACGAGCGCAACCCUUAUCCUUUGUUGCCAGCGGUCCGGCCGGGAACUCAAAGGAGACUGCCAGUGAUAAACUGGAGGAAGGUGGGGAUGACGUCAAGUCAUCAUGGCCCUUACGACCAGGGCUACACACGUGCUACAAUGGCGCAUACAAAGAGAAGCGACCUCGCGAGAGCAAGCGGACCUCAUAAAGUGCGUCGUAGUCCGGAUUGGAGUCUGCAACUCGACUCCAUGAAGUCGGAAUCGCUAGUAAUCGUGGAUCAGAAUGCCACGGUGAAUACGUUCCCGGGCCUUGUACACACCGCCCGUCACACCAUGGGAGUGGGUUGCAAAAGAAGUAGGUAGCUUAACCUUCGGGAGGGCGCUUACCACUUUGUGAUUCAUGACUGGGGUGAAGUCGUAACAAGGUAACCGUAGGGGAACCUGCGGUUGGAUCACCUCCUUACCUUAAAGAAGC